AUUGAACGCUGGCGGCAUGCCUUACACAUGCAAGCCGAACGGCAGCACGGGAGCAAUCCUGGUGGCGAGUGGCGAACGGGUGAGUAAUAUAUCGGAACGUGCCCAGUCGUGGGGGAUAACGUAGCGAAAGCUACGCUAAUACCGCAUACGCUCUAUGGAUGAAAGCGGGGGAUCGCAAGACCUCGCGCGAUUGGAGCGGCCGAUAUCAGAUUAGGUAGUUGGUGGGGUAAAGGCUCACCAAGCCGACGAUCUGUAGCUGGUCUGAGAGGACGACCAGCCACACUGGGACUGAGACACGGCCCAGACUCCUACGGGAGGCAGCAGUGGGGAAUUUUGGACAAUGGGCGCAAGCCUGAUCCAGCAAUGCCGCGUGCAGGAUGAAGGCCUUCGGGUUGUAAACUGCUUUUGUACGGAGCGAAAAGGCUCUCUCUAAUACAGGGGGCUCAUGACGGUACCGUAAGAAUAAGCACCGGCUAACUACGUGCCAGCAGCCGCGGUAAAAC
rnacentral:rRNA from 1 species